GAUGAACGCUAGCUACAGGCUUAACACAUGCAAGUCGAGGGGCAGCAUGAACUUAGCUUGCUAAGUUUGAUGGCGACCGGCGCACGGGUGAGUAACACGUAUCCAACCUGCCGAUGACUCGGGGAUAGCCUUUCGAAAGAAAGAUUAAUACCCGAUGGCAUAGUUCUUCCGCAUGGUAGAACUAUUAAAGAAUUUCGGUCAUCGAUGGGGAUGCGUUCCAUUAGGUUGUUGGCGGGGUAACGGCCCACCAAGCCUUCGAUGGAUAGGGGUUCUGAGAGGAAGGUCCCCCACAUUGGAACUGAGACACGGUCCAAACGCCUACGGGAGGCAGCAGUGAGGAAUAUUGGUCAAUGGACGAGAGUCUGAACCAGCCAAGUAGCGUGAAGGAUGACUGCCCUAUGGGUUGUAAACUUCUUUUAUACGGGAAUAAAGUGAGGCACGUGUGCCUUUUUGUAUGUACCGGAUGAAUAAGGAUCGGCUAACUCCGUG
rnacentral:rRNA from 1 species